UGGUAGGCCUAGGCUGGAACAGGUUUGCAGAAUGAACAGGCCGAGUGGAAGCAUGCUGGUGGAAAGCUGGAAAAGGGGAACCAAGGCCUGGAGCAGAGAAAUUCAGGGAUUCCUGCUGCAGGAGAUAGAGACUUUAUUGUUUGGACAAUGUCAGGCCAGCCCUGGGAAGAAGGGCCUGGAACCAGUGAACUCUUUAUUAGUUGACUGGCAAGUACUUCAAGGUAUCAGCAAGGACUUACAGAUCCCAGUUACUAUUUCCUCCACCACCCUUUUUAGAUUUGCUUCUACAUUCAGGUGCCUAUUCUGUACAGCUAAGUAUUACUGCAGUUGUUGGAACUCAGUGGUAUUGGGAAGAGGUUGCCAGCCCUGAAGUGCCUUCAGCACUUGCCUCAGGUUUUGAGUUGCACAGACAUGCAACCGACUUGCGCAAUUAUUACGCAAAGAUCCCAAGAUCUGCUCACAAGGCUGCACUUUCAUUUUUACUGCUUCACACUUAGCUACUUGUGCAGAUCUAUUCCACUCCAAACAAUCUAGUCAUUAAACCUCUUGGAACUUAAGCAUUUAAGCUUUUAAUGGGAAGCUUUUAAUGUUUGACGGACUAUUUAAUUUUAAUAUUUUGUUGGAAGCCGCCGAGGGUGGCUGGGGAAGCCCAGCCAGAUGGGCGGGGUAUAAAUAAUAAAUUAUUAUUAUUAUUAUUAAUAUGUAAGGGGUUGGUUCUGUGUAUAUAAAUUUGCAAACAAUGGGAUUGAGGUUUUUUCCUCAACUGUAUGUUUAUUUUAUAACAUUUUUCCCGUGAAGAAAAGGCAUGUUAUCUCUGCAGACACAAAUUCACACUUUUGAGAACUGCAAAAACAAGCAUCUUCUCGUAAGAAAAACUGCCCCAAAUAAUCUUACAGAAACCUCUGGAAGAGCAUGGCAUUGUGAAUGCAUUAAUGGAACUCAUUUACCAAAAAAUUUAAAUAUUGCAUAUAAAGCCUUAUGCUACAUAAUUAAAAAUAAAUCUUUAUUUCCUGAUGAAUAGCCUUUGGACUAUAAUGUAACUUAAAUAGAAAACUAUAUUUAGAAAGGUUUUACCUUCAAAAGCAUUUUAUUUUUAAAAAUGCAAUUUAAAUUUUAAAAAUCUGAUUUAGAUUUUUUAAAAAUCCGAUUUUAAAAUUGAUUUUUAUCCAUCCUGAUGGUGUGACUCUCAUACUAGAGAGGGAGAAAAUCUUUUCUCUAUUCCACUUUCUGAACAUUGACCCUCCAAUUGUCCCCAUUUUCCAGGGACAGUCCCGGAUUUACAGAAGCUGUCACGGAUUCUGAUUUGAUCCUGGAAUGUCCUGUUUUUCCUUAGGAUCGGUGAAAUGUUGGAAGGUAUAGUAGGAUGUCCCUAUUUUCACUGGAGGGUAUGAAAUUAAGUGACACCCCACCCCCGAGUCAAGGAGAUAAGUAGCUAUACAACUUUAAUAAAAUAUCUGAAGGCAGCCUUAUAUAGGGAAGUUUUAAAAAAUGUUUUAUUAUGUUUUUAUAUAUGUUGGAAGCUGUCUAGACAACCCACUCAGAAGGGUGGGAUAUUAUUAUUAUUAUUAUUAUUGAAUAGGACAUCCUAUUUUCAUAGGAGAAACAUUGGAGGGCCGUGACACACUUCGAAUGUGAGACAGGACUAAGACCCAUUGCCCCCCCCCCACUUCCCUCAGGAGGCCCAAUCGUUUAUGGGCUCCAGGUGACUGACAGGGCCAACAGGCCAGUGGGUACAAAAGGAAACAGGAAGCCUCAACAUCCGGCUUAUUCAAAGCUACAGGGAGGCGGUGCUCUGUAGCUUGAGUGGCAGUGGGGCAUCUUGAGUGGCAGCGAGUGGAGGAGGUGCUUACAUGGAUUUUGACCUAUUGGAGAAUGGCAGGGGUGGGGGGGGGACCAAUCAGGGAGGUGCGUUUGCUCAACCUCAAGCUCCACCCUCCGUUGGAGAAAUGGAGGCAGAUACAUCAUGGGGCCGAUUUGCUCUAGUUUCCACCAAAGUCACCUUGGGAGCUCUGCUUAACAUCCAGAAAUAAAGACAAUUGGGGGUUCUUUUCAAGGUGCAAACAGAACAGGGGGCACUUUGCCCCCCUAAGAAUCAAAUGCUACCUGGAAAGCUGUAUUUGGGCCCUGGAGUUGAGAUUCCCAGGUCCUGCAAUAAAAUUAGGAAGCAGGACAAUGAAUAAGGAGAUUAUCAUGAUCUUGGAGAAUGCUAGGAGGGGAUCUAACCUUUCUUCAGGUCCUUCCUUGCUUCUCCUGUUGCAGUUUUGCAUCAGUUUCCCAGCCACCUGAUGCUCGUACAGUGGUACCUCUGAUUACGUACUUAAUUUGUUCCAGAGGUCCGUUCUUAACCUGAAACAGUUCUUAACCUGAAGCACCACUUUAGCUAAUGGGGUCUCCUGCUGCUGCUGCGCUGCUGGAGCACGAUUUCUGUUCUCAUCCCGAAGCAAAGUUCUUAACCCGAGGUACUAUUUCUGGGUUAGCGGAGUCUGUAACCUGAAGUGUAUUUAACCCGAGGUACCACUAUAUUGAAAUGCGGGUGGCGCUGUGGGUUAAACCACAGAGCCUAGGACUCGCCGAUCAGAAGGUCGGUGGUUCGAAUCCCCACGACGGGGUGAGCUCCCGUUGCUCGGUCCCUGUUCCUGCCAACCUAGCAGUUCGAAAGCACGUCAAAGUGCAAGUAGAUAAAUAGGUACCUCUCCGGCGGGAAGGUAAACGGCGUUUCCGUGCGCUGCUCUGGUUCGCCAGAAGCGGCUUAGUCAUGCUGGCCACAUGACCCGGAAACUGUACACCGGUUCCCUCAGCCAGUAAAGCGAGAUGAACGCCGCAACCCCAGAGUUGGCCACAACUGGACCUAAUGGUCAGGGGUCCCUUUACCUUUACCACUAUAUUUGAGAAAACAAAAGAGUGGGCAGCCUUACCCUGCACCUCCCAGAAGCCCCAAGCAAUAUCUGUUUACUCUUUGCUUCCAGGAUCCCGGAGGGCCCCGAUUCCUCUCUUCGUUUUCUCGGUUCUGCAGUCUCAGAUGCGGAGAAGCUUUUCCCUGAAUUCACAGCCUGAGCUAUUGCCGGUUUCAGAAAACUGCAAUAGGUGAACAGUAUAUGAGAUGCAUUUUGGAGACAUGCACCCAGGCUUCCAUGAGGAAUGAUGAAGCCCCAGCCUAGUCUGAAGGCGAACCACCUCCUGCCCAGGUAACCAUGGUGAGUGAGGAGAUGCAUGAGGUGUCCAGCGGGAGGGUGGGCAGGGGAUGGGAUUUGGGGGGUGUUAUGUGGAAGGAAGGCUUGUGGGUCUGGCCAAGAGGAUGGCAGGCAUUUAAAAUGAAAUUAGAGAGAGAGAGAGAGAGAGAGAGAAUAUAAUAUAAAUAAUAAAUUUAUUGUUACGCUUUUAGUGGACAUCUGAAGGCAGCUUUGUUCAGCAAGGUUUUUAAUGGUUGAUGUUUUAUAAUUGUAAAAAUAUUUUGUGGGGAGCCGCCACCCAGAGUGACUUGGGCAACCCAGUCAGAUAGGUUGGGGAUAAUUCAGGCUGAAAUUCCCAGCUGUCAGAAAAGGUUAUUUUUGUGUGCCACUACUGCGGCCCGUGUUUUGUUAGCCCCAAAAUGGAAAAUGUGUGAGGUCCCAGCCAAAGAAGAAUGGCAACUUAAGUUGACAGAAUAUGCGCAGCUUGCAGACUUAACAUAUAGAGCAAGAAGAACAUACAUUUAGAGAAGAUUGGAAAAUGUUUAUUGAAUAUAUGGGAAAUAACUACGCACAGCUGAAAACGCUGACAGCAUUAAGAUAAAUUCAACAGUGUAGAUAAGUUAUAAUGGAUGUAAUAACGGAAUACUGACUGGUAUAGUUUCUGUAAAAUAUGCAGGGAUUUAUGAUACGCAAAAUGAACCAUGGAAAGAGAAGAAUGGAAGUCACUGGGGUGUAAAAACGAGUAUACUACUUUAAAUUGUAAAACAGAAAAUUUAAUAAAAAUUAUAUAUACAAGGUGGGUUGCAUAUAAAUAAUUAAAUCAUUAUGUUAGAAAAUAUUAUUAUUAAAUUGCCAAUUCCAGUUGAUAUUAUUAUUAUUAUUAUUAUUAUUAUUAUUAUUUUAUACCCCACCCAUCUGGCUGGGUUUCCCCAGCCACUCUGGGCGGCUUUCAACAAAAUAUUAAAAUACAGUAAUGCAUCAAACAUUAAAAGCUUCCCUAAAUUGAAGCCUGGGCCUGGAAUUUGGGACUGGAACAGUCCUCCUGGUGUCCGCAGGGAACUUAACUUUUCUCUUUUGCUCUCAGGGCCCUCUCAGGACAUUAACUUUUCUCUUUUGCUCUUAGGUCUCUCUCCGGACAUUAUAGGAAAUUGGGCCGUUUUUGAAGAGCAUAAGAGCAUGGUAACAGUGGCACUUGGAAGCCAUCUUCAGGCUGCAGGAGACUGGUUUUUCUGCUUGCAUGGAAACGGUCUUCACAAAUCACCUGUCAGUCUUAUGCUUAGGGGUCUUUUCUCUGUGACGCCCUGAUCACUAGGAACUUGUCCCUGGUGUCAGAAGUGUGUUGAUGGCAUCAGGGGUUGCUUCACCUAAGGAGAGCCUUGCAGAGAGAAACUUACCACCUGGCACCCACCAUACACUCCUUGGGCCCGGCCCCUCUUGGCAGGCAAGCUGAGCGUCAUCAUACCACUUUUCUGGUGACAGACAAAGCCACUUCUGCCUAAGGAGGUGGUGGAGUUGUGGGCUUCACGACCUUUCCACGUGCACGGCGGGCGGAGCCAGCACUGUGUGAUUGAGGGGAUUCCCUGCUGCGUCAUCCCCUGGCGGGCCAAUCAGCUGGCUCGGGGGCGUGGCCUGCCCUAUUUAAGGCAGGACGCGGCCGGGGAUCUCCCUCUUUGCCGCCCACCAGUGAGCCCCCGGAUUCUGAGCUGCUGCUUCCUCCCACAGGACCUGAGCGGUUACACAAGCAGCAAAAUCAGGGAAGAAAUUGUUCAGGAAGUUGGAAACCCCUGUAGGCUGCAGGCACAAUAUGGGCAACCCAAAGGCAGACAUUUUGCCUUUAUUUAUUUGGAAUCCUUGCAUCUCACUUUAUAGCUCCGAGAGGCUAUAAACUGGCUUACGAAAGAUACUCCCAGUAGUAUCAGGAACACAAAUAAUGAUAGUGCCAGGAUUAUUCCGGUGGCGUUUCGUGCCAUCUUUCUUGGUGUUGUUCUUCAACCUCAGCCUACUAGGCCUCGGGGCCUAUUGAGGACAGCGGUGGAGCUAACCUCUUGGGCACCUGGAGUGGCACACAUGCUGAUUGGGGUCUGAUCGGCGCAGUGGUGAUCCACCCGGGAGGAUUUUGUCACCCCCUUUUGGAUGACACCCGGGGUAGGCCACCCCCCCCCUCCUACACACCUGGGGGUGGGUGGGUAAGGGAUUGGGGCCAAGCAGAUGGAUCUCAUUCAGACUAUGAAAGAGAGAAGUCUUUCUUCACGUCCUUACUAUGGCUUGGUUAUGUGUCAGUGUUUCCUUACACCCACUAUUUGGGGAGGCAUUAUUUGCAAAAGCUUGCCCUGGAAGACCUUUGCAAUGACACUUGAAGCCCUCUUCAAACUGAGGUAUAUUGUUUUUAUGCAUAUCUUUUUAAUGUUAUAAAGAAAAUUUGUUCCAA